GAUGAACGCUGGCGGCGUGCCUAAUACAUGCAAGUCGAGCGAACGGACGAGAAGCUUGCUUUUCUGAUGUUAGCGGCGGACGGGUGAGUAACACGUGGAUAACCUACCUAUAAGACUGGGAUAACUUCGGGAAACCGGAGCUAAUACCGGAUAAUAUUUUGAACCGCAUGGUUCAAAAGUGAAAGACGGUCUUGCUGUCACUUAUAGAUGGAUCCGCGCUGCAUUAGCUAGUUGGUAAGGUAACGGCUUACCAAGGCAACGAUGCAUAGCCGACCUGAGAGGGUGAUCGGCCACACUGGAACUGAGACACGGUCCAGACUCCUACGGGAGGCAGCAGUAGGGAAUCUUCCGCAAUGGGCGAAAGCCUGACGGAGCAACGCCGCGUGAGUGAUGAAGGUCUUCGGAUCGUAAACCUCUGUUAUUAGGGAAGAACGUAUGUGUAAGUAACUGUGCACAUCUUGACGGUACCUAAUCAGAAAGCCACGGCUAACUACGUG
rnacentral:rRNA from 1 species